CGGGUGAGUAAUGCGUGACCAACCUGCCCCAUGCUCCAGAAUAGCUCUUGGAAACGGGUGGUAAUGCUGGAUGCUCCAACUUGACGCAUGUCUUGUUGGUAAAGUGUUUAGUGGCAUGGGAUGGGGUCGCGUCCUAUCAGCUUGUAGGCGGGGUAAUGGCCCACCUAGGCUUCGACGGGUAGCCGGCCUGAGAGGGCGGACGGCCACAUUGGGACUGAGAUACGGCCCAGACUCCUACGGGAGGCAGCAGUC
rnacentral:rRNA from 1 species